UCACGUAUUAUUUUGUGCCUCUAGCUAGAUGUGUUUUGCUAAUGUGGUUGUUAUUAAGACAGGAAAAAUAAGAUACAUGUUCUAUUCACUAUUUAUUAAGUGAGGUUUUGGCUCUUGGUUCUUGACCUUUAAAGAGCUUUUGGUUAUUCCUAUGCAGAUUAUGAGGGAAUGGAGGAAAUGAGGACCAAAAAUUAAGGGCCCCAAACCAAUAGGGAAAGAAGAUAUACUGGUGACAUUGUGGGGGGAUAUUUCAUGCAGUCUUGAUAUUGAGGCUAUCAGGACAACACGGCCACCUGCACUUGCAGUUUUCACAAGCCUCAAAUUGAAACAAUAUCAAACACCAUCCUCUAUGCACAGCUAUAUAUUGAAGGCUUCUGUCAUGGAAGCAAUUAGGCUUUCAAAUAUAUUUCUGCUAACCUCAUUAGUCAUUAGAGAUGCCAGUUUCAAGAAUAAGUCUGAAACAAAUUCGGUGAUUGAGGCAAUUAAUCAAUAGUAGUAAUUAUUUACUUUUUGGUUUUCCAUUCAAACGUAAUUUCUUUCUCUUAUGUCAGUUAUGUGUGGAUCUCCCGUGCAACUCUAUUUUCAAGUUUAGUGGGAAUUGGUGAUUGAGUCCACCAAAUUCAUUGAUAAGAGAUUUUAGAUGAAAUUGUAGAGGAACCACUUCAAUUAGCAAAGAUGAUUUAUUGAGGCUGAAAGUAUUACUUAUAUAUAUUGACUAGCUAAAAAAUUUGGAUUUGGUAAUAUAUAUUCUGAUGUAUAUGUCUUACCAAUUUGUAAAUAUUCUUCCUUCAAAAAAGAAUAAUUGUAUGCAUAUACCUUUA